CAUGAUCUCACACUGCCAAGAAAAGCCUCUAGUCAGGAGAAGGUGCCCGUACCGCAAACCGACACAGGUAGGCGAGAAGAGAAUUCUAAGGCGCGCGGAAGAACUCUCGUUAAGGAACUCGGCAAAAUGACCCCGUAACUUCGGGAGAAGGGGUGCCUCGGUAGGGUGAAUAGCCCGAGGGGGCCGCAGUGAAAAGGCCCAAGCGACUGUUUAGCAAAAACACAGGUCUGUGCGAAGCCGCAAGGCGAAGUAUACGGGCUGACGCCUGCCCGGUGCUGGAAGGUUAAGGGGAGUGGUUAGGGGUAACCCGAAGCUAUGAACCGAAGCCCCAGUAAACGGCGGCCGUAACUAUAACGGUCCUAAGGUAGCGAAAUUCCUUGUCAGGUAAAUUCUGACCCGCACGAAUGGCGUAACGACUUGGGCGCUGUCUCAACGAGAGAUCCGGUGAAAUUUUAAUACCUGUGAAGAUGCAGGUUACCCGCGACAAGACGGAAAGACCCCAUGGAGCUUUACUGCAGCUUGAUAUUGAAUUUGGGUACGAUCUGUACAGGAUAGGUGGGAGCCGGUGAAGGUGGAGCGCAAGCUUCGCUGGAGGCGCCGUUGGGAUACCACCCUGAUCGUAUCUAGGUUCUAACCUGGUACCCUAAGCGGGUACGGGGACCGUGUCAGGCGGGCAGUUUGACUGGGGCGGUCGCCUCCUAAAGAGUAACGGAGGCGUUCAAAGGUUCCCUCAGAAUGGUUGGAAAUCAUUCGCAGAGUGCAAAGGCAAAAGGGAGCUUGACUGCGAGACCUACAAGUCGAGCAGGGACGAAAGUCGGACUUAGUGAUCCGGUGGUACCGCAUGGAAGGGCCAUCGCUCAACGGAUAAAAGCUACCCUGGGGAUAACAGGCUUAUCUCCCCCAAGAGUCCACAUCGACGGGGAGGUUUGGCACCUCGAUGUCGGCUCAUCGCAUCCUGGGGCUGAAGUAGGUCCCAAGGGUUGGGCUGUUCGCCCAUUAAAGCGGUACGCGAGCUGGGUUCAGAACGUCGUGAGACAGUUCGGUCCCUAUCUGUCGUGGGCGUAGGAAAUUUGAGAGGAGCUGUCCUUAGUACGAGAGGACCGGGAUGGACGUACCGCUGGUGCACCAGUUGUUCCGCCAGGAGCAUGGCUGGGUAGCUACGUACGGACGGGAUAAGCGCUGAAAGCAUCUAAGCGUGAAGCCCCCCUCAAGAUGAGAUUUCCCAGUAUGUAAGACCCCUUGAAGACGACGAGGUAGAUAGGUUGGAGGUGGAAGCACGGUAACGUGUGGAGCUGACCAAUACUAAUCGGUCGAGGGCUUAUCCA
rnacentral:rRNA from 1 species